UUGUCUCAAAGAUUAAGCCAUGCAUGUCUUAGUACAAGCCUAAUUAAGGUGAAACCGCGAAAGGCUCAUUAAAUCAGUUAUGGUUCCUUAGAUCGUACCCACAAUUACUUGGAUAACUGUGGUAAUUCUAGAGCUAAUACAUGCAAAUAGAACUCCAAUCGGAAACGUUCGGAGUGCUUUUAUUAGAUCAAAACCAAUCGGCUGUAAACAUAAUUAAACCGAUAUUUCGUAUGUCGGUGUUGUGUUUUAUUUGUCGUUAAAUGUUUUUGUUGAUUCUGAAUAACUUUAAGCUGAUCGCACGGUCUAGUACCGGCGACGCAUCUUUCAAAUGUCUGACUUAUCAACUGUCGAUGGUAGGUUCUGCGCCUACCAUGGUUGUAACGGGUAACGGGGAAUCAGGGUUCGAUUCCGGAGAGGGAGCCUGAGAAACGGCUACCACAUCCAAGGAAGGCAGCAGGCGCGCAAAUUACCCACUCCCGGCACGGGGAGGUAGUGACGAAAAAUAACGAUACGGGACUCAUCCGAGGCCCCGUAAUCGGAAUGAGUACAGUUUAAAUCCUUUAACGAGGAUCAAUUGGAGGGCAAGUCUGGUGCCAGCAGCCGCGGUAAUUCCAGCUCCAAUAGCGUAUAUUAAAGUUGUUGCGGUUAAAAAGCUCGUAAUCAAAUUUGUGUCUUGUGCCGUUGGUUCAUCGUUCGCGGUGUUAACUGGCGUGAUAUGAGACGUCCUGCCGGUGGGUUUUCAGGUUUUUUUGUAUUUUAGUACCGUCGCUUUUGAUAUUAUAUUAUUCUGGGGGUUACGCGUCAAUGAUGAUUUAGCGUGCGAUAAUAUCAACCGUUUGUCAUCUAUUUCGUUUCCGUUUUCUCACUUUACGUUACUAAAGCCGUUCUUAGAUGUAAUUAUUUGGACAACCCAAAUUUAAAAUCCUGCCGCGAUGCUCUUGAUUGAGUGUCGAGGUGGGCCGGUACGUUUACUUUGAACAAAUUAGAGUGCUUAAAGCAGGCAAAAAUGUCGCCUGAAUACUGUGUGCAUGGAAUAAUAGAAUAGGAUCUCGGUUCUAUUUUGUUGGUUUUCGGAAGUCCGAGGUAAUGAUUAAUAGGAACGGAUGGGGGCAUUCGUAUUGCGACGUUAGAGGUGAAAUUCUUGGAUCGUCGCAAGACGAACGGAAGCGAAAGCAUUUGCCAAAAACGCUUUCAUUGAUCAAGAACGAAAGUUAGAGGUUCGAAGGCGAUCAGAUACCGCCCUAGUUCUAACUGUAAACUAUGUCAACUAACGAUCCGUCGACGUUCCUCAAAUGACUCGACGGGCAGUUUCCGGGAAACCAAAGUUUUUGGGUUCCGGGGGAAGUAUGGUUGCAAAGCUGAAACUUAAAGGAAUUGACGGAAGGGCACCACCAGGAGUGGAGCCUGCGGCUUAAUUUGACUCAACACGGGAAACCUCACCAGGCCCGGACACCGGAAGGAUUGACAGAUUGAGAGCUCUUUCUUGAUUCGGUGGGUGGUGGUGCAUGGCCGUUCUUAGUUGGUGGAGCGAUUUGUCUGGUUAAUUCCGAUAACGAACGAGACUCUAGCCUGCUAAAUAGGCGACUAAAGACAUCUGAAAGGCCCGUCGACUUGGUUAAUUGGUUUUCGUAUUUGAUGUUUUUGUCAUAUUCGCUUGUCGUUUGUGUUCAAUUUCUAUCUGUACGUUACCUUACCUUGUCGUGCGCGGUUUUUACUGUCUGCGUAUUAAUAAUUCUUCUUACAGGGACAGGCGGCUUUUAGCCGCACGAGAUUGAGCAAUAACAGGUCUGUGAUGCCCUUAGAUGUUCUGGGCCGCACGCGCGCUACACUGAAGGAAUCAGCGUGUCCUCCCUGAUCGAGAGAUCCGGGUAACCCGCUGAACCUCCUUCGUGCUAGGGAUUGGGGCUUGCAAUUAUUCCCCAUGAACGAGGAAUUCCCAGUAAGCGCGAGUCAUAAGCUCGCGUUGAUUACGUCCCUGCCCUUUGUACACACCGCCCGUCGCUACUACCGAUUGAAUGAUUUACUGAGGUCUUCGGACCGAUGCGCGAUGACGUUUCCGCGUCNUCGAUGUAUCCGGGAAGAUGACCAAACUUGAUCAUUU
rnacentral:rRNA from 1 species